rnacentral:rRNA from 1 species
AUUCCUGUACCUUAAGUAAACAGAACUGUGGGGACACGUGUGGAGAGCACAAGCCGGAAAUGGAAAAGCCGGUGCAAGCGAGGUAGGAGAUGAACAGGCAAAUCCGUUCAUCAAUCCGAAGACGUGAUGCGGACCGAAUUAAGAGUAGGGAAGUGUGUGAGCCAUGCGUCAAGAAAAGCCGCUAUUGUUUUACUUAAGCCCGUACCGUAAACCGACACAGGUGGAUGAGGAGAGAAUCCUAAGGCCGACGGGAGAAGCAUUGUUAAGGAACUCGGCAAAAUGACUCCGUAACUUCGGGAGAAGGAGUGCCAGCGAGAGCUGGCCGCAGAGAAUUGGCCCAAGCAACUGUUUAGCAAAAACACAGGUCUAUGCAAAACCGUAAGGUGAAGUAUAUGGGCUGACGCCUGCCCGGUGCUGGAAGGUUAAGAGGAGAGGUUAGCGGCAACGCGAAGCUUUGAAUUUAAGCCCCAGUAAACGGCGGCCGUAACGAUAACGGUCCUAAGGUAGCGAAAUUCCUUGUCGGGUAAGUUCCGACCCGCACGAAAGGCGUAAUGAUUUGGGCACUGUCUCAACAAUGCACCCGGUGAAAUUGAAAUACCAGUGAAGAUGCUGGUUACCUGCGCCAGGACAGAAAGACCCCAUGGAGCUUUACUCCAGCUUGAUACUGGGAUUCGGUAUUGCAUGUACAGGAUAGGUGGGAGGCUAGGAAGUGAUAACGCCAGUUGUCACGGAGCCGCGGUUGGGAUACCACCCUUGCAGUAUUGGAUUUCUAACCAGCGACCAUGAACUGGUCGGGGGACAAUGUCAGGUGGGGAGUUUGACUGGGGCGGUCGCCUCCGAAAGGGUAUCGGAGGCGCUCAAAGGUUCCCUCAGAAUGGACGGAAACCAUUCGAAGAGUGCAAAGGCAGAAGGGAGCUUGACUGCGACACCGACGGGUGGAGCAGGUACGAAAGUAGGACUUAGUGAUCCGGUGGUAUAAAGUGGGAUUGCCAUCGCUCAACGGAUAAAAGCUACCCUGGGAUAACAGGCUUAUCACUCCCAAGAGUUCACAUCGACGGAGUGGUUUGGCACCUCGAUGUCGGCUCAUCGCAUCCUGGGGCUGAAGUAGGUCCCAAGGGUUGGGCUGUUCGCCCAUUAAAGCGGUACGCGAGCUGGGUUCAGAACGUCGUGAGACAGUUCGGUCCCUAUCCGGCGUGGGCGUAGGAUAUUUGAGAGGAGCUGUCCUUAGUACGAGAGGACCGGGAUGGACUGGCCGCUGGUGUAUCUGUUGCAUACCAAAUGCAUGGCAGAGUAGCCAAGCCGGGACGGGAUAAACGCUGAAGGCAUCUAAGCGUGAAGCCCCCCUCAAGAUGAGAUAUCCCUACGUAAGUAGUAAGACCCCUUGAAGACGACGAGGUAGAUAGGUCAGAGGUGGAAGUACAGUAAUGUAUGGAGCUGACUGAUACUAAUCGGUCGAGGGCGUGACCUA